rnacentral:misc_RNA from 1 species
UCCCCGUUAUCCGAGGCGGUUCCCUUCGGGUGCAUUCCUUGCGGACGUGCAACAAAGGGUAAGGGUUGCGCUCGUUGCGGGACUUAACCCAACAUCUCACGACACGAGCUGACGACAGCCAUGCAGCACCUAUGCCGCCGUCCCUUGCGGGAACUCCUCAUCUCUGAGGAUAGCAACGGCAUUUCGAGUCCAGGUAAGGUUCUUCGCGUUGCGUCGAAUUGAACCACAUGCUCCACCGCUUGUGCGGGCCCCCGUCAAUUCCGUUUGAGUUUCAGCCUUGCGACCGUACUCCCCAGGCGGAGCACUUAACGCGUUAGCUCCGACACGUCCGCCUCAGCGGACACAUCCAGUGCUCAUCGUUUAGGGCUAGGACUAC